GCAGGCCUAACACAUGCAAGUCGAGCGGUAGCACAGAGAGCUUGCUCUCGGGUGACGAGCGGCGGACGGGUGAGUAAUGUCUGGGAAACUGCCUGAUGGAGGGGGAUAACUACUGGAAACGGUAGCUAAUACCGCAUAACGUCGCAAGACCAAAGUGGGGGACCUUCGGGCCUCAUGCCAUCAGAUGUGCCCAGAUGGGAUUAGCUAGUAGGUGGGGUAACGGCUCACCUAGGCGACGAUCCCUAGCUGGUCUGAGAGGAUGACCAGCCACACUGGAACUGAGACACGGUCCAGACUCCUACGGGAGGCAGCAGUGGGGAAUAUUGCACAAUGGGCGCAAGCCUGAUGCAGCCAUGCCGCGUGUGUGAAGAAGGCCUUCGGGUUGUAAAGCACUUUCAGCGGGGAGGAAGGCGUUAAGGUUAAUAACCUUGUCGAUUGACGUUACCCGCAGAAGAAGCACCGGCUAACUCCGUGCCAGCAGCCGCGGUAAUACGGAGGGUGCAAGCGUUAAUCGGAAUUACUGGGCGUAAAGCGCACGCAGGCGGUCUGUCAAGUCGGAUGUGAAAUCCCCGGGCUCAACCUGGGAACUGCAUUCGAAACUGGCAGGCUAGAGUCUUGUAGAGGGGGGUAGAAUUCCAGGUGUAGCGGUGAAAUGCGUAGAGAUCUGGAGGAAUACCGGUGGCGAAGGCGGCCCCCUGGACAAAGACUGACGCUCAGGUGCGAAAGCGUGGGGAGCAAACAGGAUUAGAUACCCUGGUAGUCCACGCCGUAAACGAUGUCGAUUUGGAGGUUGUGCCCUUGAGGCGUGGCUUCCGGAGCUAACGCGUUAAAUCGACCGCCUGGGGAGUACGGCCGCAAGGUUAAAACUCAAAUGAAUUGACGGGGGCCCGCACAAGCGGUGGAGCAUGUGGUUUAAUUCGAUGCAACGCGAAGAACCUUACCUGGUCUUGACAUCCACAGAACUUUCCAGAGAUGGAUUGGUGCCUUCGGGAACUGUGAGACAGGUGCUGCAUGGCUGUCGUCAGCUCGUGUUGUGAAAUGUUGGGUUAAGUCCCGCAACGAGCGCAACCCUUAUCCUUUGUUGCCAGCGGUCCGGCCGGGAACUCAAAGGAGACUGCCAGUGAUAAACUGGAGGAAGGUGGGGAUGAC
rnacentral:rRNA from 1 species